AGGUUGAAUCAGCAAAAAACAAGAGAAGAAUAUAUAUUAUUAAAGCUUACAAGGAAUCGGUUGCUCAAUCUCCCUCAAACGCUUCCAGCAAUAUGCUACACACUACUCCCCAGCAGUACUGCUGGAAGGUUUGGAGGAGAAUGAACAAAACAUGCCUUGAUGAUGAUGAUGAUGAUGAUAUAUAUAUAUAUAUACAUUGAAGCUUACAAGGAAUUGGUUGCUCAGUCUCCCUCAAACGCUUCCAGCAAUAUUCUACACACUACCCCCCAGCAGCACUGUUGGAAGGUUUGGAGGAGAGUGAACAAAACAUGCCUUGAUGAUGAUGAUGAUAUAUAUCGCGAGUAUUUCCAAUGGAACUCAUUGCUCACUCUCCCUCAAACGCUUCCAAAUUUGCGUAUCUUAAGGGCUAAACCGAAGCGCUUGAUGAGAGAGCGGAUACUGGUCACCAUUCUUUCUCCAGCCUGCAUAUUUUUGGCAACCUUAUAUGUAUAUGAGGUCAUAUGCAUGGCUUGUAAUUAAUUGUAUAGAUAAGGUUUCGAAAGCUAAACACAACAGAUUAAAGCAAGUGCUGGGACAUCUUUUGAAAGUAACUUUUAGUCCUAAAACUACUCCCAAAACUGAAUAGUUUGUUUCCAAUCAUAAAGAAUAAAAUUACUUUUGGUUUCUCUCAGUUUGGGAAGUUGAGUUAGAAUAUUUAUUGAGUUGGAUGCCACUAUGGCAAUGAUCCUUUCUGGUGAAUUGUGGAUCGCAAGCUAGAGGUGAAUGGCAGCUCGGUUUAAAGCAACGGCCAAGAAAAUUUUUUUGGGAUAAUAAAUAUGUAAUUUUAUUAUUUUAAUAGUUUAUAUAUUUAUAAAUUUUAAAUAAUUAAAUUAAA